AUGAACGCUGGCGGCGUGCCUAAGACAUGCAAGUCGAGUGGGUUUAGGCCCACGGCGAACGGGUGAGUAAUAUCUAGGAACUUUUCAUAAGUCGAGCAUAUCCCACCGAAAGGUGGAGCAAUUCUCGAUGUGGCUGUAAGGCUAAAGUCGCAAGACGCUUAUGGUGAGGCCUGGAUCCCAUCAGCUAGUUGGUAAGGUAAUGGCUUACCAAGGCUACGACGGGUAGGGGUCCCGAGAGGGAUAACCCCCACACUGGAACUGCGACACGGUCCAGACGCCUACGGGAGGCAGCAGGUUGGAAUGUUGGACAAUGGGCGAAAGCCUGAGCCAGCGACGCCGCGUGGACGAUGAAGGUCUUCGGAUCGGAAAGUCCUUUUGUCAGGGAAGAAUAGUUGAAGGUACCUGACGAAUAAGAGGUUGCUAACUCUGU
rnacentral:rRNA from 1 species